CGACUACUCCCUCCGUUCCGAAUUACUUGUAUCCGUAUCUAGACUCAUUUUAGUGCUGGAUACCUCCCUAUCUAGACAAAUCUAAGACAAGUAAUUCAGAACGGAGGGAGUAGAUU
rnacentral:pre_miRNA from 1 species